rnacentral:rRNA from 1 species
GACGAACGCUGGCGGCGUGCUUAACACAUGCAAGUCGAACGGAAAGGCCCUGCUUUUGUGGGGUGCUCGAGUGGCGAACGGGUGAGUAACACGUGAGUAACCUGCCCUUGACUUUGGGAUAACUUCAGGAAACUGGGGCUAAUACAGGAUAGGAGCUCCUGCUGCACGGUGGGGGUUGGAAAGUUUCGGCGGUUGGGGAUGGACUCGCGGCUUAUCAGCUUGUCGGUGGGGUAGUGGCUUACCAAGGCUUUGACGGGUAGCCGGCCUGUGAGGGUGACCGGCGACAUUGGGACUGAGAUACGGCCCAGACGCGUACGGGAGGCAGCAGUGGGGAAUAUUGCACAAUGGGCGGAAGCCUGAUGCAGCAACGCCGCGUGCGGGAUGACGGCCUUCUGGUUGUAAACCGCUUUCGCCUGUGACGAAGCGUGAGUGACGGUAAUGGGUAAAGAAGCACCGGCUAACUACGUG